AGCCUUUACUAUAAGUAUUUCAUUGGCAUUGAAAAAUAAUGUAAAUUUUUAGUUUUAUAAUGUAGGUAUAGUUUAUAUAUGAGGAGGUAUAUAUUAUAUACAGAUAUAUAUGGACAUCUAUUUUUAUUUUCAAAUUUGAGUAAUUUAAAAAUGUUAUGCCACAAUUCUACUUUCUCUCUAUGUAAGGUCAGAUACUCCAAGUACCUCACAGAAGUGGAAUUAUAUAAAAUUAGUUCUUUUGUGAAAGGCUCAUUUCACUAAGCAUGUUUUCAAGGUUAAAAGCUCUUUUCCCAAACAAACCUCUUUGCUGCCUGGGGACUAGACUGCCUUUGCAGGAGUAACAAAGUAGCCAAAAUAAUAGAACUUAUAACUUAAGAGUUAUGCAGCUGGAGGCUACAAGAUUUUUUUUUUUUUUUUUUUUUUUUUUGAGAUGGAGUCUGGCUCUGUCCAACAGGCUGGAGUGCAGUGACACUAUGUCGGCUC
rnacentral:lncRNA from 10 species